AUAAUAUAACAGAUGGUGCAUUAUUCUAGUUAUACUAAUUACUAUGAGGGUGGGGCUAAAAAUCCACUAAAGGGCAUAUCGUUGAAGUUUCUUGUUUGUGCGCGGGAUGCCAGUUUUGCGUAUUUUCAGGGAGUAUAGAAAUUAGGGCGAUAUGUAACGGCAUACAUAUUAACCCCUGGUUUUGCGGAGACUUAAAUAGAAGUUUAAGUGUAACCUAUGUCGAGUGCCAAGACACAAAACAUAGUGUAGCCUGUUUUGAGUGAAAGUAUUGGGAUUAUUUUAACGGAGUAAAUAAAAUCCGGCCAAAUUUUAUUUGUUCUUGAUAUGAAAUUUCUUUUGCAAAAGAAACUAGUAGUAAUUUAAAGUAUAUUAAGGAAAACUUCUAGAAUGUUUGCCAUUUAGGCAUGAAAGUCUAAGGAUUAAGGUACGGAUUUGAGUGGUGAUCUGGUGGCUGCUAUUUAUAUAGUGGAUGUUCUCUUGAAAUGGAAACGGCUAAGGCAGUAAUGCCAAGUAGAGAAUAGAGAAAUUCGACUAGACCUAAACCGUAAAAUUUACUUAGACUUUACCAUCUUAAACUAUA
rnacentral:sRNA from 1 species